UGAACGCUGGCGGCGUGCUAACACAUGCAAGUCGAACGAGGCGUAUGCAGCGGAAGUUUCGGAGUGGAAGCAGCAUAGACCGAGUGGCGGACGGGUGAGUAACGCGUGGGGAACCUGCCCCAUUCCGGGGGAUACCAGUUGGAAACGACUGUUAAUACCGCAUAAGCGCACGGAAGGACAUCCUUCAGUGUGAAAAACUGAGAUGGAAUGGGAUGGCCCCGCGUCUGACUAGCCAGUUGGCAGGGUAACGGCCUACCAAAGCGACGAUCAGUAGCCGGCCUGAGAGGGCGACCGGCCACAUUGGGACUGAGACACGGCCCAAACUCCUACGGGAGGCAGCAGUGGGGAAUAUUGCACAAUAGGGGAAACCCUGAUGCAGCCGACGCCGCGUGAGUGAAGAAGUAUUUCGGUAUGUAAAGCUCUAUCAGCAGGGAAGAAGAUGACGGUACCUGCACAAGAAGCCCCGGCUAACUACGUGCCAGCCGCAGC
rnacentral:rRNA from 1 species